GCUGAUUCCAACUGUUAAGAAAUAAUUACUUACGCUUUUAAGUUUCCGUCUCUCUCCGCUAUAUCGUAGUGGCAAGAGUGAAUCUCGCGCGUGAUUAGCGCUAUUGUCGCAUUGUUAAAGUAUAUCGUUCUUAUUGUACAGUUGAUUUUAGUCGAAAAGCUAGGAGUUUAAUGUCCGUGUAAUUAGAUUGGCCACAUAAUCCAUGAACAUUCGUUAAUGAGCUCUCGAAGGAAGCGGUUGUUUUGUCUACAGAAAGAAGUCUCGAGUUUCUUUGGCUUCUCCGCUGAUUGAUAUAUAAAUACGCUAUAUAUUAAUAACGUUACCGUUAAGAUACUGGUCGUCACUAAGGAAAAGGAAUCACUAGAAAUAAACCCAAUCACUUAUUCUCUGCGACAGUCAACCAGAAUCAUUGCUGUGAGAAGCCCAUGACAAUGAAGUCAAAGUAAAACCGCAGUACAUCAAAAUACAAUCGAAUACGCUCAAAUGAAGUUAAUGAGGAUGAUCCAGUGACAUUGAUUGGGCACGAUCGAUGUCAACAUUGUUACCAACCACUCAAUAUGAUAAUGCUUUGAUAAUACCGAUCACAACGUUGGAACUUUAUCCAAAGCCAUCCGGCUACAAUACGUAUCACAGCUUAGGUAGAAUAGCUAUCUACACGCCGGAGGAGAAACUAAGCUAUGAAGGUCGGACGAAAAUAUUAAAAAGUGCCUCAAAAAUAUCAGCUGCAACGAUAGCGUCACAGACCAUAGUGCGAAUCAUACCAUGGACAGGCCACUCGAACGGAUCGGAAAAUAUCGAGUACGCUGAUACAAGGAAACUCUUUUCCAUAGAUUCGCCUGUAUUGCCAGCCGCAUACUCGACAUAUCUAUGGGCAAAGCACUGCAACAUAGAAAAUGUACGAGUUGGAGAGGUUUUAUGGAGGUUUUAACGACGGAUAACACUAAUGAUGUUUCCAAAGUUGUUUGUCUGCCUCUUAUCAAUCAGCCUUCUUCCAAUAUGAGCACUAUCAACACAGCUUUACGCACCGCUCUAGUUGAGACUCGUCGAAUUAAUCAGAAAAUGUGUUUCGAAACAUUCGACCAACCAUUGUACUAUAAAGCUUGUGCGAUUGUUGCUGCAUCACAGGAUAUACUGAAAAAUGUUGUGGUUCGCUUGCUCAUGUCCUACUUGGGCUCAAUCGGUCACAUUAUGAAUGGCAGCGGACUUGAAGAUAUCUGGGCAGUAACAUACGCUCCAGCAUCAGUGAAAAAGAUGUUGACGGGGCAUGCUUAUGCUCGUGCGAUGCGUGCUCAUAUCCUUGACAUUUAUCAAUCUGGGAGUAAUGAUCUGCCGUGAAAUCGAAGGUGAAAUACGUCAACAAUACGACGAAGACGUUAAAGCUUUUCUCCAAAGUUGGUGUACAGAACCUCCGACUAUCGGCGAUUGUCAAUCGGAUCCUUCGAUUACUUCGAUUACUUCGAUUACUGCGAACUUGACUACACAAUUGGCAAUUUUAAAAAAUCGAGGACCUACAGCACAACUAUGGGUGCAAUACUUUGAGUGUGCAAAGUAUUAAAGCCGUACAUUUUACAAAACCAAACUUCC
rnacentral:misc_RNA from 1 species